UUAAGCAGUCUGUAGCUACCUUUUACCCACUUGAGGAUUUUGGUUAAGAAAACACAAUUAAAAUGGUAUUUUUGUUCUAACAGUGUGGGACAGAGACAGCUUGUUUGCCUUGCUCGGGCUUUAUUGCGGAAGACCAAAGUAUUAAUAUUGGAUGAAGCAACAGCAUCACUUGAUAUAGAAACGGAUAAUGUAGUGCAAGCCACAAUACGGAAAGAAUUUCAUAACUGUACAAUAAUAACCAUUGCACACAGACUACAGUCAAUAAUGGAUUCUGAUCGAGUGCUUGUCCUUGAGUCUGGGAGGAUUGCUGAAUUUGAUACUCCUGACAGAUUGCUACAAAAGAAAGGCAUGUUUUAUGAAAUGGUGUCCAAAGCUGGGAUGCUGCAAGAAAGAGACAGUUAAUGCUUUGGGGAACACUGUGUGUACAUUUUUCCUCCAAAUUCUAUUACAAUAAUGGUGUCAGUAACUUUUUCAUUCUAUAAUGAAGAUUAUUUUAAGCAGGGGGUGGGAAUAGGCACAGAUAAUAAAAAAUUGAACUGUCUACAAUAAUUUUUUUUAAUAUAAAGUGCAUGUGCCUUUUUAAAUAA